CUAAAAAUAAAAUUAAUGGUCCUGACUCCUGAGCAAUGAUACUGAUUAAGAACUUCCUUAUAUUUGUAUUAUCAUUGUCCGUUGGCAUGAACGCCACAUUAUUGGUGAGGCAAAUUUCCGAGUAUUCAGCCGACUGUUCCUAACCUUCUGAGGCAGCGAUAUCCCCAGUCUUCUUUCACUUCACAUCCAGCCGCAGUUUCAACAUAUAAUCUUAAGGGGUUUAUUAGUACUUUUUUUGAGCAAUUAUUGGAUUGCCAUUUUUUUCCAAACGAUAGCAUAAACAUUUCCAGAAAACUAUUACACUGUUUGAGCAACUGCUCUUACAUCUGUUUUGGCUAAACACGUAAGCCAAGUUGGAAAGGAAUCCAACCAACAUAUUUCGUCCUUCAAGCUUAUGGCAAAUCUUGCCAGCUUAUGAGAGACACAGUUACCCUCCCGUCUAACAAAGGAGAAGUAACAUUCUUCAAAACUUCGGCUUAACAACAGAAUAUCAGCUAGGAUAGUACCCGUAAUUGGGUCAUCAGCAUUCUUGUCCUUAAGCUUAUCCACCAUCAGUUUACAAUCUGAUUGAAUCUCCACCUUGUUCCAGCCCCUCUGCUUUGCCUUGAUUACAGCUUCUCUGAUGGCUAAUGCUUCCUCCACUGCUGGGUUCCCUUCCCUCCUUGCCCCUCCUGCCCAUGCUCCUGCUACCGCCCCAUCCUCCUUUCUGGCCACCACUCCCCAACCUAUUCUCCUAAACUUCUGCUCUACAGCAGCAUCAGAGUUUAGCUUGAUAACCCCCAGAGGGGGUGGAUGCCAACUAUUCAAUUUUGUCUUUCGGUGUUCCCUAUUAACAUCUGUUUUGACCUCCCCAUCUCCUGUUUCAUUGUAUUCCAGUUUUGUUUUGAAGAUAUAUUUUUUUAUUUCGUAUACAUCAAAUCGCUGCUAAACAUUUUUCUACAAAAAUUCUAAAAAAUAGCAAUCCCAACGGGCUGGCUCAGUGUUUUAAAAGUUAGUAGAACAAGAAAAUGUUUUUUUCUUAACCGCAUACUGUGGUUUAUCUUUUUUCCCGAUUGUGGUGAUGACUUUUAU
rnacentral:lncRNA from 1 species